CAUCAUUGGAUUCUCCGGACUGUGAGCUAGCAUGAGUGCAGGUGAUCUGGCUUCAGGGGAAAUAGCAACUGUCUAGGAGCGCAAUUCACCCUGAGCCCGGUGUGGCUCCGAAAAGCCCCCACCUGUGACCAGUUAAUUCCUAUGUGGCCAGAACACGAGGAUGUAUCCCAGGAAGGCUUGGGGCUGAGGCUGCGUCUUCCCCCAUGCGCAGCAUUUUCGGCGUCUGUGCAGCAGCCUGAGUCUUCAGGGUCUGUCCACGGGUUAGGUAUGACUGGGCAGCACCCACUAAGCAGGGUUUCUGGGUCAGCAUUUCCUGCAGUGCGCGGUGGCCACCAUCAGACCGCUUGUGGCACUGUUGUUCUAAGGGAACUUGGGGCCUGCCUGACAAUCUUGAUUUCUGGCUGCCUCCUACCUCCUGCAGCCCUAUAAAGGCUUCAGAAAUCCUGUGAAUUCUGGCUUCAGGGGAAUCAGCAACUCUGUCCUGGAAUGUGAUGGAUGCAGACAGCUGAUGUGUCCCCAGAAGUCCCAACUUGUGGUGGUUUGUCCCUACAUGUCAGGACCUAUGACCCUUCCUGAAGAGCCUGGAAGCAGAGCGACACAGCACACACCUGUGGAGGGCACUCCGCUCACCUAACCUCAGCCACCAGGACCUCCAGCUCUGCCUGGAGAUGGGCUGCCCUCACCCAGCUAGCCAUCUUCCUGGGCCAGGGGUUCCACGGACUGGACUGCAUGCCAGGUACAGAGUGAAGGUUGUUGAGCUAGAUGACAUCUCCCAGGUGUGUCUCCCAGGUGUGUCUCAUCAGUGAGCUCUAUGCGCUCCCCCGCCCCCCACCCGGUUCCCUCCCAGGCCGAGGAGGAGGCUACGGAGUUCCUGUGAGGUUUGGCUUCAGGGGAAUUAGCAACUCGGGUUUGGAGCGGGAAAGGACCUUGGCUGUCCAAUUUGUCCCCUAGAAGUCUUCGCCUGUGCCCGGCCUAUCAGUGAUCCAGACUGGGAGACUGAUCCCAGGAACCUGGAUGCUGAGUCAUCAAGAUGAUUCUUAAGAGACUUCAUGGGGGCUUCCCUGGUGGCUCAGAGGUUAAAGCGUCUGCCUCCAAUGCGGGAGACCCGGGUUUGAUUGAUCCCUGGGUUGGGAAGAUCCCCUGGAGAAGGAAACGGCAACCCACUGCAGUAUUCUUGCCUGGAGACUCCCAUGGAUGGAGGAGCCUGGUGGGCUACAGUCCACGGGUUGCAAAGAGUUGGACACAACUGAGUAACUUCACUCACUCACUCAAGAGACUUCAUUAAUCUGCUAUUUUGCAGAAUAGUCCUAACUGCCUUUGUAGAUACUAAUUCUUUUUUGCUUCCUGAAUUAAAUUUCACUUUGGUUAGCAUAAUGUCACAUUUAUCAAAAUCUUAUUACCUAAAUGAAUGCUUAAAAUGACUUAAUGAUUUUAAAAUUCUGCCCUUAAUUAAUUUUCAAUGUCUUCCUGGAGGAACCAUCCAAAAAUGGCAAUACUGUUUCAUCUUUUCUAGUUGAUGGAUUUUAGUCAUAUUAUUGCAUAAUUUUUAAAUUUUCUAAAUUUUAGUUAAAUAAAAAUUAUACUUUGAAUAGCAUGCAAAUUUGGUACUCACAAAUAUGAAUUUCCUAAAUGACAGUCAUGAAUAUAUUUAUGUGUAUUAUUUCAGUGAUUCUGUUAAUAAACUUGAAAACUUCUGCACAGAAACCUGUAGAAUUAAAUUUAAACUUUAUCUCUGUUUCUUUUAUUUCAAGGAAUUUGAUUCUAUCAUAUAUUUGUUUGCUGAGCUUUUAUGAAAAACAGAUAUGAACUGGUUAACAAUCCAGACUGACAAAGUUAACUUCUAAUUAGACAUUUAUGUAUACUUUUUAUAUCAGUAGGUACAUAUUUAUACAUUAGAAAUAGCAUUCAUUUCUAAAGCUAAUUAAAACUGCAUAUUGAAAUCUUA